AGGAAGUUAGCUCAGUGGUAGAGCGCAGGCUGAAAUGCCUGAGGCCGCCGGUUCGAGUCCGGCACUUUCUC
rfam:Clostridiales bacterium 52_15 Ley3_66761_scaffold_1610, whole genome shotgun sequence.